UGAUUGGAUAUCGAUCUAUAGGAUCAGGAAACGUAUCGCCUGCUGCCCCAAUUGGAUAUUGUCCAUUCAAAGGAUACCUUUCGGGAUAUUUAUCAGCUGGAUAACGAUCAGGAUAACGAUCUGGAUAUUUGUCGGGGAUAUCGAUCUGGGUAUCGGUCAGGGUAACGGUCUGGAUAGCGAUCUGGAUAUCGAUCUGGAUAGCGAUCUGUGUGACGGUCUGGGUAACGAUCUGGAUAGCGAUCUGGUUUCACGCUGCUACUGUAUCCUUUGUCGUAGUCCUCUGGAUAACCUGUGUGGAAAUUUGAAAUUUACUUGUUUCAAGAAACAUAUUUGUUCUAUGCUUUAUUUAUUGAAUUAAAUAAAUUUGAGAGAUACCAAAGUGAGGUAAUUUUAGACUUUGAUAUUUGUAAUAUGUAAGAAAUAUGAAAAAAAGAAGAUUGAGUUUACGGUAAUAGAUUAUUAAAGUUAUUGUUAGUUUACCAGGUCUUCCCAAAGAAGGCCGGCCGUAAUUGGUAUCUUGUCCUAGGGGGUCUGGUCUGUAGCCUGGAUUAUCUCGGUCCCCAUCCAAAUAUUGGUCUGUUUAUAUAAUAGUUGACAUUUUAACACAGGUAUAUAAAUAAAUCUAGUAAGUUUCUUAGACUUUUAUUCACUGUACGUAUACAACAAAUUUAAGAAUUUCUAGAAUUGUUCAAAAGAGAUGGAAAUAAUAAUUCACAUUAUGAUUUGUAGCAUUAUAAAAGGAUCACAACCGGUUUAAUUUUCUACUUCAAAUCUUGGAAAGUUCACGAACGUUUGAAAGCACGAAAACGAGGAAGAAGUUCGAUACUGAGAGCCAACCUAACAUCAAUUGCUUUAAGAAUUUCUUAAAACAGUGUUGUUUCCGAUUUUAUCGAUUCGAUUAUAAGCAAUAUAUCUAUACACCUUUAAGAUAUUCGUCACUCACGCAUAAGAUUCUCAUAAUAAUCAUAGUCUGCAUCGUAGAUGAUCCUGUGUCCGUCACGUUGAUUGAAGCGACUCAAUCGACAGGUAUGAUAAUGUUCAGAAUACACGGCGCUCCUGCAUUGGAAACUGGUCUGCCGAAGACACUCAUCAAGGCAUUCGCUCAGGCUACGACCUGUUAUCUCAGAGUGAAAUUCACCGCUCAAACGAGAGUUUCGAUAACGCUGGAACGCUGUAUCUGGUCGUCGUCCAUCGGAAAAAAGGUGCGACGUGGAGCUGCUGUCCGGGUAUUCGGAACCGCGUGCUAUGGACGGAUCUACGCUUCAAAUAAUUCAUGGAUGAGAGUAAUGGAAAAGAUACUGGGCAACUAAUAAUGUAAUGCUUGAAAGUUGGAAGCACGGUUCGUUGGGUUUACGGGCGUGUGCUGGUCCUUCGCCGCAUGUACGUGCACGCGAAUCGUCAGAGAAAAGGUUGACGAAGGUGCGAGCAUGUAGAUGUGUUCAGGCAAGCAGAAAAGUAAGACUUCAAAGAGUUGAGUCUAAUUUUAAGGGAUGAUGCCUUAAGAAUUAUUCAUGAAACAGCCAAUACUUAUCCUAUGUAAAAUAAUGGGGCAAAGGAUAAUAUAUUACUUGAUAUAUCCUCAAUAACGUACAAUAUUGUUAUAAUCGAUUGAUACUGUUUAAUCAAAGUUAUGUUAUUCCUAUCUUUUAUAAAGGAUUUAAUUUGCAAAUUGUCAAUUGUGAUACACGUGCUUGUCCAUUAGAUGCAAACUUUGUUCACGUAUUGCGGAGAAACGGUGCUUAUUAAUUAUGUCAUGGUUUAUCGCCUCCAUAAUUAUAGUUCUCUGUCCAAAGAGGAUGGAUGCUUGUCUAGUAAUUAACGUUACGAUCGACGAGAGAAAAUUAUAGAUACGGGUCAUUCGAAUCAUCAAUUAUAUUGUUUAAUAAUAUUAUAAUACUACGUUGAAUUAGUGUAUCGUGAUUAUCAUCAUCAUUGAAUUUCGUCCAGUCGUGUUCCUGUUUUAACAAACGUACAUGACUUUCUCACUACAUAUAAUACAAGUUUUAAAUGGAAUGUAUUAAAAGUUUGAUAAAUUAGUAAGAUGUUAAAAUAUCAUAUAAAGAAGACACUGCUUCUGUUCUAUAUUCUACGUGAAUGUAUACCUUUUUAAAAAUAAAAGACUGUUGCA